GAACUUGGCGGCUUGGCUUAAUACAUGCAAGUCGAGCGAAUGGAUUAAGAGCUUGCUCUUAUGAAGUUAGCGGCGGACGGGUGAGUAACACGUGGGUAACCUGCCCAUAAGACUGGGAUAACUCCGGGAAACCGGGGCUAAUACCGGAUAACAUUUUGAACCGCAUGGUUCGAAAUUGAAAGGCGGCUUCGGCUGUCACUUAUGGAUGGACCCGCGUCGCAUUAGCUAGUUGGUGAGGUAACGGCUCACCAAGGCAACGAUGCGUAGCCGACCUGAGAGGGUGAUCGGCCACACUGGGACUGAGACACGGCCCAGACUCCUACGGGAGGCAGCAGUAGGGAAUCUUCCGCAAUGGACGAAAGUCUGACGGAGCAACGCCGCGUGAGUGAUGAAGGCUUUCGGGUCGUAAAACUCUGUUGUUAGGGAAGAACAAGUGCUAGUUGAAUAAGCUGGCACCUUGACGGUACCUAACCAGAAAGCCACGGCUAACUACUUGUUCUCUUUCCGCGGUAAUACGUAGGUGGCAAGCGUUAUCCGGAAUUAUUGGGCGUAAAGCGCGCGCAGGUGGUUUCUUAAGUCUGAUGUGAAAGCCCACGGCUCAACCGUGGAGGGUCAUUGGAAACUGGGAGACUUGAGUGCAGAAGAGGAAAGUGGAUUUCCUUGUGUAGCGGUGAGAUGCGUAGCAGAUAUGGAGUAACCACUAGUGGUAUACGGCGAUUUACUACUCGUGAAACUGACAUCUGGGUCGCAACAAGCCGUGG
rnacentral:rRNA from 1 species